CAGCAGCCACGGUAAUACGUAGGGUGCGAGCGUUAAUCGGAUUUACUGGGCGUAAAGCGUGCGCAGGCGGCCCGUUAAGACAGGUGUGAAAUCCCUGGGCUCAACCUAGGAACUGCGCUUGUGACUGGCGGGCUCGAGUACGGUAGAGGGGGGGUGGAAUUCCUGGUGUAGCAGUGAAAUGCGUAGAGAUCAGGGGGAACACCGAUGGCGAAGGCGGCCCCCUGGGCCUGUACUGACGCUCAUGCACGAAAGCGUGGGGAGCAAACAGGAUUAGAUACCCCGGUAGUCCCUGUCUCUUAUU
rnacentral:rRNA from 1 species